GGUGGAGCAUGUGGUUUAAUUCGAAGAUACACGAAGAACCUUACCUGGCCUUGACAUGGUAGGAACCUUAAGAGAUUAGGGGGUGCUAGCUUGCUAGAACCUACACACAGGUGCUGCACGGCUGUCGUCAGCUCGUGUCGUGAGAUGUUGGGUUAAGUCCCGCAACGAGCGCAACCCUCGUCCUUAGUUGCUAACAGUUCGGCUGAGCACUCUAGGGAGACUGCCUUCGCAAGGAGGAGGAAGGUGAGGACGACGUCAAGUCAUCAUGGCCCUUACGGCCAGGGCUACACACGUGCUACAAUGGGGCGUACAGAGAGCUGCGAUACCGCGAGGUGGAGCCAAUCUCUUAAAGCGUCUCUCAGUUCGGAUUGUUCUCUGCAACUCGAGAACAUGAAGCUGGAAUCACUAGUAAUCGCAGAUCAGCUAUGCUGCGGUGAAUACGUUCCCGGGUCUU
rnacentral:rRNA from 1 species